rnacentral:tRNA from 1 species
AAUGUUAUGUCUGAUUAAAGUAAUAAAUUGUAAAUUUAUUUAUGAAAUUUUUUAUUUCUAACAUUA